UAAGUAGGUAGUGAAAUGACGGGGCUCAACCCCGUGUCCAUUAUCUAAAACUGCUCGAGCUAGAGUAUGAGAGAGGUACCUGGAAUUUCUAGUGUAGGAGUGAAAUCCGUAGAUAUUAGAAGGAACACCGAUGGCGUAGGCAGGGUACUGGCUCAUUUACUGACGCUCAGGCACGAAAGCGUGGGGAGCGACCGGGAUUAGAUACCCCGUUAGUCCACGCCGUAAACGAUGGAUGCUA
rnacentral:rRNA from 1 species